rnacentral:lncRNA from 1 species
GGUCUCUUUUCUUUGAGGAGGAUGGAGUUAUGAAGGGAACGGGUUUGAAAUAAGAGGAGAAGAUGAUGAAACCGACAUUGACUCGAUGGGAGGCAUUGGGAAGAGGCAAUGGAAAAUACAUGGAAGAGAAGAAUCGAGCAAAGGAAGAUGGGGCCAUGGAGGAAAUGAGGUUUUUAUUUCUUUUUCUUUUUUAUUUGGAUUUUGGGGGUGAGAAAAAGCA